AAUCGAAAUUAAGGAGGGAGGGGAACGAUACAGAUAGCAAAUUUUGGAACCAGGGCAGUGGUACGAUACAAAGGCAACAAAAGGCCAAAGGGAGUAGAUCAAAGUUCGACUUUCAGAAAUCGUUUUGGGGGCACCCUCUACACCUAUUGUCUGUCCCCGAACAAAAUGGCUACUUAUUGGUGCAGUUACUCUCUCUUUCUUUCUAUUCUUUUUCUGCCCUUCCUUUUUCUUUCUUUCCUUUUCCCUCUUUUCUUUCUUUCCCUUCUUUUCUUUCUUUCCCUUCUUUUCUUUCUUUCCACCUUUUUCUUCCUUCCCUUUUUUCUUUCUGCCAGCAUAAAAUAUUUUCUGGGACCAUUGGUCCCAUGGUCCGCUAUAUUUUCCACCCCUGGACUGCAACCCCCUUGUAAAUCUGAAACUUGCAAUGCAAUUUCUGAUAAAAG